AUUGAACGCUGGCGGCAGGCCUAACACAUGCAAGUCGGACGAGUGGCGGACGGGUGAGUAAUGUAUGGGGAACUGCCCGAUGGAGGGGGAUAACUCCUGGAAACGGUAGCUAAUACCGCAUACCAUCAGAUGUGCCCAGAUGGGAUUAGCUUGUAGGUGGGGUAACGGCUCACCUAGGCGACGAUCCCUAGCUGGGCUGAGAGGAUGACCAGCCACACUGGGACUGAGACACGGCCCAGACUCCUACGGGAGGCAGCAGUGGGGAAUAUUGCACAAUGGGCGCAAGCCUGAUGCAGCCAUGCCGCGUGUAUGAAGAAGGCCUUCGGGUUGUAAAGUACUUUCAGUCGGGAGGCGUUACCGACAGAAGAAGCACCGGCUAACUCCGUGCCAGCCGCCGCGGUAAUAC
rnacentral:rRNA from 1 species